rnacentral:rRNA from 1 species
UGGGGAAUCUUCCGCAAUGGGCGCAAGCCUGACGGAGCAACGCCGCGUGAGUGAAGAAGGGUUUCGACUCGUAAAGCUCUGUUGUCGGGGACGAAUGUGGAGGUUGUGAAUAACAGCUUCCAAUGACGGUACCUGACGAGGAAGCCACGGCUAACUACGUGCCAGCAGCCGCGGUAAUACGUAGGUGGCGAGCGUUGUCCGGAAUUAUUGGGCGUAAAGGGAGCGCAGGCGGGAGAUCAAGUCUAUCUUAAAAGUGCGGGGCUCAACCCCGUGAGGGGAUGGAAACUGGUCUUCUUGAGUGCAGGAGAGGAAAGCGGAAUUCCUAGUGUAGCGGUGAAAUGCGUAGAUAUUAGGAGGAA